UACGGAGGGUGCUAGCGUUGUUCGGAAUCACUGGGCGUAAAGGGCGUGUAGGCGGUCUGUUAAGUCUGAUGUGAAAUCCCCUCGCUCAACGAGGGAACUGCGUCGGAUACUGGCAGACUUGAGUACCGGAGAGGAAGGUGGAAUUCCCGGUGUAGCGGUGAAAUGCGUAGAUAUCGGGAGGAAUACCGGUGGCGAAGGCGGCAUCCUGGACCGACAUUGACGCUGAGGAGCGAAAGCUAGGGGAGCAAACGGG
rnacentral:rRNA from 1 species